ensembl:lncRNA
GCCGGACGUCAGAAUAACAAGUGGCGUUGUUGGAUCUCAGCGUGUUCAGGAAUUGCUAUCCGAACAUGAAUGGGUUCACCUUGAUGCUGCUGUUUGCUGCUCAGUGCUUUCCAGCGGAAACAAAUCGGCACAGCUCUUUUUCUGCAGUAUUCCAGGAUGUGGCUCUAAUGUGACCCACGUGUUUUGCAACGACGAGUCGCUCCUCAGUGAUGGUCCCAUCCCGAACUGUACCGGGCCUCCACCCCCCAAUACUGUCUGCCAGCACAAGGGCUUCGCAUUCGCCUCCACCGAUUCAGAUGCUGGCUGUGAUUUUGAAGGGAAAGACGGUCUUAUUGAGUCGGGAAAAUGUACAGGUGCUUACAUGUGCUUUCCAAAGGAUGACAUAUAUUAUGGUCGUCUCUCAGUCAUUCCCCCUACGUGCAAAGUUAGCCAUUUUCUGCUGCUGUCCGCUUUGUUGUUGCUUCAUCACUGCAGCUCGGCGUGUUAUUUGUUAAUAAUUUUGCAUUGGAGGGAAGUUCUUUUACUCCACAUUGGUAAACUUUUACAACCAAAUAGUGGUCGUUUAAUGUCUCUGUGGACACCUUUUGCUUACUUUUGGUGCAUUUUUCACAAGAUGCAACACAAAACAACCUUGAUUAGAUUCUGGGAUUUAAUUUAUUCCUAUUGAAAUGUAUCUGUCUGAUAUAUAUUGACGAUCAUUUAGAAUUUCACAUAAUUUAAUAUAUUUUCUGUUGUCCAAUGACUGAUGCAAUUCUGUCUUGUAUACAAGUGACAUUUCUCUUGUUUCCUCUACUAGACAACAGCAGCAUCUGUGCUUCUCUUCACCGUGGUGAGUUUUUGUGCAGAUACACUUUACCACUUUAUCAUGUUGCCAACGGAUUUUAUUGACCUCAACAGGAUUUCAUCGUCCAUCGCUGACCACUGCCUUUCCUCUAGUCAACGCUACAUCACAAGUCCCCACAAGGGGGCGUUAUGGAUUAAUUGUUGAAGGUGUAAUUUUAGGUCUGCUGAUCGUAGGAAUAGGAAUAGCAAGAAGAGUCUCUUAUAGACGCUCACAGCAGGAUUCAGCAAGUAACGCUGCUGUGACUGAACCGCUGAGACAGAUGGAAGGUCCCGAAGGAAUCAGUGAUAGUGAUACUGCUGGAUUGGAAGAUGGCGGUUCUACUUCCCACCAGGAGAGUGGAGUUUAAACAACUGCAGCUUCAUCAUCUUUGUUGUAUUUUUCUCAUUUUUUUCUCAAGAUAUCUCAUGGGGUUGUUUUUUUUUUAAAUGUAGCACAAACAUCCAUGAACUGAUUAGGUUUUUGUGGUUAAAGGUCAACGUGAAAUCAGCCCCAUUAUUACAAACACAAUAUCUCAGGAACACCUUAAGAGAGUUUCUGGACUGCAGGAUGAAGUCAUACGGUUUUUGCAAUCAAAAGGUCACUGUGAAAAAUGUUUAUUUAAUCUUUAUCCUUAUUUAAGGCCACGAGUCGCAUCAAUAAACUUAUACAGAUAAUUUUGCAAACACGUCCAGUAGAAUAACAUGAUGAAGUAAUGCCAUUUUGGACAGACCCUGGUGAAGAAUGUUUAUGCGGUAGUUUUUCCUAUUUUUGAAAUCAACAUGACAUCUGUUUUAGAAGUGUUCCUUUUAGUGCAAGCCUCCCCCACUUCCUGUAUAUUAUCAUUACUAUUAUAUUAUGUACAAUAAACUCAGAUGCAAAUUAAAA